GAUGAACGCUGGCGGCGUGCCUAAUACAUGCAAGUCGAGCGGAGCGGGGACGGGAGAGUAACACGUGGAUAACCUCCUCUAAGACUGGGAUAACUACGGGAAACCGGAACUAAACCGGAGACUUAUAGAUGGAUCCGCGCUGCAUUAGCUAGUUGGUAAGGUAACGGCUUACCAGGGCAACUAUGCAUAGCCGACCUGGGAGGGGGAUCGGCCACACUGGAACUGAGACACGGACCAGACUCCUACGGUAGGCAGCAGUAGGGAAUCUUCCGCAACGGGCGAAAGCCUGACGGAGCAACGCCGCGUGAGUGACGAAGGUCUUCGGAUCGGAAAACUCUGUUACUAGGGAAGCGGUACCUAAUCAGAAAGCCACGGCUAACUACGUGCCAGCAGCCGCGGUAAUAC
rnacentral:rRNA from 1 species